GACGAACGCUGGCGGCGUGCUUAACACAUGCAAGUCGAACGGAAAGGCCAUGCUUUUGUGGGGCGCUCGAGUGGCGAACGGGUGUGUAAAACGUGUGUAACCUGCCCUUGACUUUGGGAUAACUUCAGGAAACUGGGGCUAAUAUCGGAUAGGAGCUCUUGCUGCAUGGUGGGGGAUGGAAAGAUUCGGCGGUUGGGGAUGGACUAGCGGCUUAUCAGCUUGUUGGUGGGGUAGUGGAUUACCAAGGCUUUGACGGGUAGCCGGCCUUGGAAGGUGACCGGGAAAAGUGGGACGAAGAGACGGCGCAGUGUCCUACUGUGGGCAGCAGUGGGGAAUAUUACACAACGGGCGGAAGCCGGAUGCAACGGCGCCACGUGCGGGAUGACGGGCUUCUGGUGAUGAACAGCUGUCGCCGUAGACAAAGCGUGAGUGACGGUAAUGGGUAAAAAAGCACCGGCUAACUACGUG
rnacentral:rRNA from 1 species